UCUUGACACCUGCUUUGUACGGUUAUACCCCGUAUUUUUAGGAUCUGGGAGCGGCGUCGGCGGUGGCGGUGUCCUCCAGCGGCGGGCGGCGGGCGACGGGCGAAAUCGGCCAGCGACAGGUGGAAUCGGCUGGAGAGGUAGCGCUCGUGGGUCGCCGCUGCAGUCGCCGGAGAUCGGAGCCGGGCAGAGGCGAGCGGACAAGAACGGGCGACGCUAGGAUGGAGGAGGAGAGCCCUGCCCCGGCGUCGGCUCAGGCUUCUGCUCCCUCUCCCACUCCCGCCGCCGCUGUUGGUGGUGUAGCGCCUCUGGAUCCAGCGGGAAGGUGAAGCGCAUCAUGAAGACGCCCUAUCAGUUGGAGGUUCUCAAGAGGACUUACACAGUUAGGGCUCACAGACAAGCAGCUGCAGAUGUGGUUCUGCCACCGGCGGUUGAAGGACCGUAAACCACCGCCGAAGCGGCAGCAGCUGGAGGAGGAGGUUCAUGUGCCAGUUAUGGCGCCGCCUCCUGUGCUGCCACCACCGCUGCCACACAGCGAGCUAACAAUGGCUCCUGGUGGGAUGUAUGGCGAGCAGUUGCUGCCCUCCUCUUCCCGUAGAGGAACUGGCCGGCCAUCAGCCAUUCUUGAUAUGUCUGAUCUUCAGUGCCUCCCCCUACUCACGAGCCACGGUUAACAAAGCAUAUUGAGCACAUAAUAGAUUUGAUAACCAAGAUGGAUUGGAUUGUAUUUCUGAACUACCGGACUACAUAUGGUCCCAUUCAACAUGCUACGGUUUAUCGGAAUGUUUUGACAGAACAUACUUUUUCAGGCCUAAUAUUCUUAAUUUUACUUGUGGCCAGCGACAUUGAAGCUGAUUGAUUGUAUUCCUCAUCAAGGGAAAGCAUGGCAGAUUGUACAGCUUGAUGCACUUGACGAGAGGUACUCAUCCACUUGAUUUCUGCGUCCUCAGCGGUGAUUAUUUCCAUCUGUGCACAGGUGAGAUCUGGCUGCCUAUUUCGUUUUGUGUUAUUGGAAGCACAUCGAUCACAACUCUACAAAUUUCUCAUGUGUGUUCUGGGCAGGCUUGUUAGCUGAUAUGCACACCUCUGCUCAUCUUAAUGAUGUAACAAAUGUCGAUUUAUAUCACUAGUGCUUGGCUUUUGGGCUAUCGGUUCAUCAGUCUUUGGACAACAUUUAAUUGAUAAGCCAACAGUUUCUUAAAUAUUCUUUUUGAUGUGCUUGUAGUUUCUUAGAUUUUCUAGUUGAUAUCUUGAUUGGCUAAUAGUUCUAUGAAUGUUUUUGGUUCACACAGACAUGCGCAGAAGUGACAAUUUUUCAAUCUGUCUAGUGGCUGCUCUCAACUCUCAUGUUGAUUUGUAACGGUUAUUGCUGAAUGAAAGAUGGACUGAGAAUUUUCGUUCAGAGAAAUUAUAUUCAGAGCUCUGAGUGUCAUGUUCUCUCGGUUUGCAAGUGCAGCCCUUUUCAUAAUUUUUUAGUUUGGUCGGCUGGACAAUUAGAUACUCACAGUUGGGUCAAAAGCUCUGAAAUGUUAUGAAAAUUAUGGGGCUCAUACACAUAUGAUGCUCUAAAUGUCAAUUAGAAAUAUGUCAUUUGCAAAUUUGUGUGUUGUAUUCUCAGAAAUCUGUUCCCAUCUGAAUUUCCAUUUGUUCACUCAUAUUGGUGAGCGUUUUGACCAAAAGAGUUCCUUUAUGUAUUUGUUAUUGGCCUUUUCAAUUCACUGAAUUGCGAAAUGUUCGGUUGCAGGGACUAAGUCAAGCCCUGGAGAGAUGAUUCGGCUAAGGUGGGACACCACCGAUAGCGAGGAGGUCGUUCGCACCCGCAUCCCCUCAAGCACGCCGGGUCAGCACAAGGCGCGCGUGCUCCCGGCGGCUGGCCGCGGAUGGCCAGAUACAAGAGGACCACCGGCCAGCCCUCCAUGGCCGACCCGUUGCCCUCUUUCACUCCAUACCUAUCCACCACGCCGCCAUCGCCUCCGACAACCAUCGGUGUAAUACUAACUUGGUUACUACGAGAAACUCUGUGACAAGACCAAUAUGUUAUGUUGAGAAUCAUUGGUGUAAUUUAGUUACUAAGAGAAAAUGUUAAGAACCAUUAGUUUAAUAGUAACUUGGUUACUACAAAAAAUUUUGUGGCAAGAUCAAUAAGUUAUGUUGAGAAUCAUCGGUACCAUAGUAAUUUAUUUACUAAGAAA